CAGCUCAGGUUUCUCUUCACUGACACGUAAAUCUUCCGCCUUUUACUAAAGAUUUCCGGGGAGAGGAAUGUUAAUGAGCUCAACUUAUUUUUUGCAGGCUUUGCUCAAAUGUUAGAAAU